AUGGCAAAGGGAGGGAGCGGUUUUGAAAGGGAACCCAGUGAGAGGAGGUGGUGCUUAUAACAAUUCUAUUCCAUUUGCAUCCCACAUAUUUCUCGUGAGGAGCUCAAGGUGAUGUACACAGAUCUUCCCCCUCCUCAAUGGGUAGCGACUGGCCCAAGGUCACCAAGUGAGCUUCAUAGCUGCGUGGGGAUUUGAACCCUGGUCUCUGAGGUCCUAGUCCACUAUACUAUGCUGGCUUUGCGAGUGCAGAGAAACAGUGUGACAACAGGGGCCCCUUCUGAACAAAGAUUUUCUAGCAAGAAAGCAGCUGGUCUUUAAGGGGGCAAAAGCAUUGGUUUCUCCAUGCAUUGCUUCCAUGUUUACCUUCAAAGAUGGGACUACACUUCAGGGUUGACGUACUCUACUCGAAUUCCCCAUUCCCCCAGCAAACCAGUGCUAUUUUUCUAGAAAAAGAGGUGCUGGAACUCACCAUGAACACCACCCUCAUUCUCUGCUGGCAAUGGCGUCCACCUGAGAGGUUCCUGUGAAUUCCCUCUGAAAAAAGCCUUGGGUAUUAUUACACUAUUAUUAUGCAAGGUGGUGUAAGCCACAGCACAGUUCCCUGCAAUAUGGGUAUAAUAUGGAUUUGUGACAAAUCAUUUGUCUGCAAUAGCAUUUAAAAAAAAAACUUUACAAGCUCAGGAAAAAUAAUAAGCCAUGUUUGAGUAUGAAGUAAGACCCAAGUUAAAAAGAUUGUGAACUCCAAUUUUUUCCUUGCAGUCUUUUGUUUUUGAGUUGAUAAAGCACUCUCCAAUCAGAGCUAGACUAAAAUCUUGGAUAACUGAAUUGUUUUCUAUUGGAUGGCAAUCACUUCUCCAGCAGGAAGGAUAGAGAGAAAGGCUUAAAAAUAAAGCAAAAAGUUCUUUCUACGUACAAUGGGUGUUUUCCUCUAGACUUCUUUUUGUCCAUUUGGCUAUACAGGCUAUUCUUCAAUGUCAAUCAUUGUUCAGACUUCUUUCAUUGACUUAAUACUGACACAGGAACAGGCUAAUUUCUCACACAGAAAGAAAGAAAGAAAGAAAGAAAGAAAGAAAGAAAGAAAGAAAGAAAGAAAAUACAGCCUGUAUAUUUUGCCUUGUUUCUCAGGUUCUACAAGGGCAAAGGUUCAGGUUGCUGUUUAUUUUUAAAGGAUCCAGGGAAUAUGGUUGGGGGGGGGGAGCAAAUGCCACCUUAACCCCCAUGACCAGGCUGCUGUCUAUUCAGGGCACCUCCAUCAGCAACUGUGAUUUUGUGUCAGGAGCAGAAAAUGCAUUUUCACAGCUUCCCUGCCUCAAGUACUACUUAUUAUGCUUUGUCACAUGCGCUAUUAAAAGCAUGUAUUUGUAGUAGCCUUAGUGCGCAUCUCAGCAGGAAAAAAUACAAUAUAACAUAUUGUUUUGUGGACAAGCAUCACACCUUAUGGUACAAUAGUAUAUAUUGUGGACUGUGCUAUUGGUUCCUUAAAAUUUAUGUUCCUGCUACACAAAAGAUUGGGAAUACCGUAUUGAGAAAUGUUUGCAUAUGAACAACAUGUUAAACUUGAUUUGGUGUGGCAUGAAUGCACUGCAGCAAGACUUAGUCUUGCACACUCCCCCUCCUUCUGCUGGGCUGUGAGGAGGAGUCUGGAAGGGGUUGCUUCCGCUUUUGGAUCACCAAAGCUUGUUGUGUUGUCUGUAGUAACAAACCAUUUUGAUCCAUUAAGUGGUGGGGGUGGACCAUCCAAAUCAGUUCCACCUCCCUGCAGAGGGGAAGGGUCGCGUGGGUUCUUUUGCACCCAGAAGAAGGCAGAACGGAGGUGGAAUGGGGUUGAAUGGAAGGGGGGCAGGCCUUGCUUAUAUGUGCUCCGCUGACGAGCAUGAGGGCUGGGAAUGGAACUCCCACGCAAAAUGGUUCCAACUUUUUCAUACAUUGCUUAGCAAAGAAUGUUAGUUACCUAUUCACCAAUGUACAAUUGCUGCUGUCCCAACUGGUGCCUCGUUGCUCUUCUUUUUCUGAUGUUGAUUGUUGACUUCUGUAAGUUGUUGUUAGAAGCAGCCUAUAUUUGUAUUUCGGGAAGGACAUUUUGUUAUAUGUAUUCAAUGCCUCAUUGAUGAUGAUGAUGAUGAAUAAAUAAU